CCCCCAAAGCAGCUGUACUCACCUUUCCUGGGGAGGGUUAUAAGGCUACCACCGGGAGCCGCCUCACCCUUGCAUUGACUCUGUCCACACCAAGCAUUAAGCAGUUUUUCGUUGAAAUUAAGCUGCUUUUCUUUGAAAUACCAUUUGGGUAACCCUGACUGACCUGGUCUCCACAGGGGUCUUCUGUGGACAGUUUAGUUACCAGAUUCGAGAAUGCUGAAUGUCUAUA